GAAAGAGAAAGAGUCGGAGGCGGGAAAGGCAGAAGAAGGGUUUGAAGAAGGGAAAGUCUGAGGGGCGGAGGUGGAGAAGAAGGGAUUUGGGGUGGAAGGGAUGGAUGGAUUUGGGUUAGUGGAGAAGGAUGGAUUAGGGGUAGUGGAGAAAGAUGGAUUGGCGUUGAAGGAUGGAUUAGCGGUGGUGGAGAAGGAUGGAUUGCCUGAGGUGGAGAAAGAAGGAUUUGGGGAGGUCGAGAAGGAUGGAUUAGGGGUAGUGGAGAAAGAUGGAUUGCCUGAGGUGGAGAAAGAAGGAUUUGGGGAGGUCGAGAAGGAUGGAUUAGGGGUAGUGGAGAAAGAUGGAUUGCCUGAGGUGGAGAAAGAAGGAUUUGGGGAGGUCGAGAAGGAUGGAUUAGGGGUAGUGGAGAAAGAUGGAUUGCCUGAGGUGGAGAAAGAAGGAUUUGGGGAGGUCGAGAAGGAUGGAUUAGGGGUAGUGGAGAAAGAUGGAUUGCCUGAGGUGGAGAAAGA